rnacentral:rRNA from 1 species
CCAAUAGCGUAUAUUAAAGUUGUUGCAGUUAAAAAGCUCGUAGUUGAAUUUCGGGAUUAGUACGUUGGUCGUGACUUAGGUACGUACUGGUGUUACUGGUUCCUACCUUCUGACGAACCAUCAUGUCAUUAAUUUGGUGUGUUGGGGAAUCAGGACUGUUACUUUGAAAAAAUUAGAGUGUUUAAAGCAGGCUCGCGCUUGAAUACAUUCGCAUGGAAUAAUGAAAUAGUACGUUGAUCCUAUUUUGUUGGUUUCUAGGAUUGACGUAAUGAUUAAGAGGGAUAGUUGGGGGCAUUAGUAUUCAAUUGUCAGAGGUGAAAUGCUUGGAUUUAUUGAAGACUAACUACUGCGAAAGCAGUUGCCAAGGAUGUUUUCAUUAAUCAAGAACGAAAGUUAGGGGAUCGAAGACGAUCAGAUACCGUCGUAGUCUUAACCAUAAACUAUGCCGACUAGGGAUCGGACGAUGUUAUUUUUAAUGACUCAUUCGGCGCCUUACG